UACAGAGGUCCCGAGCGUUGUUCGGAUUCACUGGGCGUAAAGGGUGCGUAGGCGGCUAUUUAAGUCAGAUGUGUAAGCCCACGGCUCAACCGUGGAAUUGCGUUUGAAACUAUUUAGCUUGAGUGCAGGAGAGGAAGGCGGAAUUCCCAGUGUAGCGGUGAAAUGCAUUGAUGUUGGGAAGAACACCGGUGGCGAAGGCGGCCUUCUGGUCUGACACUGACGCUGAGAUACGAAAGCCAGGGGAGCGAACGGG
rnacentral:rRNA from 1 species